rnacentral:rRNA from 1 species
UACGUAGGGACCAAGCGUUGUUCGGAUUUACUGGGCGUAAAGGGCGCGUAGGCGGCGCGGUAAGUCGGGUGUGAAAUCUCGGGGCUUAACUCCGAAACUGCAUUCGAUACUGCCGUGCUUGAGGACUGGAGAGGAGACUGGAAUUUACGGUGUAGCGGUGAAAUGCGUAGAUAUCGUAAGGAGGACCAGUGGCGAAGGCGGGUCUCUGGACAGUUCCUGACGCUGAGGCACGAAGGUCAGGGGAGCAAACGGG